UGCGCAGGCGGUGAUGUAUGUCAGGUGUGAAAUCCCGGGGCUUAACUCCGGAAGUGCGCCUGAAACUGCAUUACUAGAGGCUUGGAGGGGACAGCAGAAUUUCUGGUGUAGCGGUGAAAUGCGUAGAUAUCAGAAGGAAUACCAAUGGCGAAGGCAGCUGUCUGGACAAGAUCUGACGCUCAUGCACGAAAGCGUGGGGAGCAAAAG
rnacentral:rRNA from 1 species